rnacentral:lncRNA from 1 species
CAGAGAACUGUAUUCACAGGAGAGCUCUGUGCCAUUGACAAGAGUGCGAAAGAGGAAGCCUACAUGACUUUGAGACUUGUGACCUGACCUGCCUCUGUCCAGCCAACCACAUUGAAUGGGGUCAGUUAGCUGCCUUCAUCUAUGGAGUCACAAAGGUAAAGAUGAUCCUGGAGAGUAUAUUCCCUCCAGGGAGGCCAUGGCCUCACGCCCCAGCAGCCUUGGCAGGACUUGCUAAAUAACACCUUUGUCCAAGACAGGGUUAUGUGUCUUCUCCUCUCUACACCCUCAUGAGCAGUCCAGGUGGCUUAAGAUCAAGAAGGGAGGACAUGGAUGUGGACCAUCCCUCUGAGCAGCCCUAAGGGAGGGCCAUGCACACUGCCUUUUUGUAAGUCUUUGCCCCGAUUCCCUUCACUCCCUUAACAUAGCUGUCUUCAAAUAACUUUCUGGUUUUUUGCGUGUUAAAGUGAAGUGCAUGUAAUAAGGAGGUGGUCUACUGUAGAUUUUGAUUUGUGGCAACAAAGAUAGGAUUUUUGUCUGUCAGAGAAACUUUUUGGAGACACCAUCACGAAUGCCUCACUUCCUUUCUCAGCGCACUGUGACCCAAAGCUGUGUUUCCUAGUAGAGAUGUCAGCAGGCGUUUUUCCAAGAAAGGAUCUGGGCUUUGCUUCCUAAAUGAGACAGUUAGACAUAUGAGACUAGCUGGUGGUGUAUUUUUUUGAGGCUUUUCUGAAUGAUGGAUUAUUUGCUUGUGCUUAGAGAUUACUGGCUUUUUCUUGCUUUCUGUUAUGUUAAAGCAAAUGGUGUAAAUGUUAUUUAUUAGUAGAAAUCAUUUAAUAAGUUUUUUGUGAACAAAAAAUUAAUUUGUUAGAACUUUAUUACUGUAUGGUGGAAGUCAUCUUGGAAAAAAAAGCAGAAAACACUCUUCAAUUAAAUGUUAACGUUAUUGGC